rnacentral:misc_RNA from 1 species
AGGCAGGGAAGAGAACUCUGGAUCUUAUCAUUGAUACAGUGUCAGCUAAUCACUCUCUUGGGCCAAUCUUGGAAUUGCUCAAGGUGAAUGGAACAUUGGUGGCAGUGGGUGCACCAGACAGGCCUUUUGAGUUACCUUCUUUCCCCUUGAUAUUUGGUAAAAUGUCCAUUUCUUUCCCACUUCUUCAAGUUUCGAUGAUAAAUAUAAAUGGUAAAAUGCAAUAGAGACAUGAUUGUUAGCAGAAAACAAUUAAUUCUUCUCCACGUACCUACUAAAGUUGCAAAACUCCACCCUUCUGUGGAAGUUCUUUAAUGAACAAUAAUUUCUUCUUUUAGUCAUGACUCAACAAUAAGGCAUAUAUAAAUUUGUGUAAUAUUACUUGCAGGCAAGAGAACAGUGAAGGGAAGCAUGACAGGAGGAAUGAGAGAAACACAAGAAAUGAUGGAUGUAUGUGGCAAAUAUAACAUCACUUGCGAUAUUGAAGUUGUAGAACCACACAAAAUCAAUGAAGCCCUUGAUCGACUUGCAAGAAACGAUGUCAGAUAUCGUUUUGUCAUUGACAUUGCUGGAAACUCUUCACGUAUUUAAUUAAGAGAAGCAGUCUUUUGGCCUCAUAUAUUUUGCUUUAUAUAUUUUUGUUGGCUAAUUCAACUUUGUGGCCCCAUAUUCUAUCAUGUGCUUGUCUCUGGCGUGCAAUUAAACGAAAUGAAAUCUUCAUCAAAUAAAAAUUCUAACAAGAUAAUUAAUUUUAAUGUUACUUUUCUUUCUUCUCGUAGUAAUAUUAUUAUUUUUUAUGCCCCCAUUAAUUAUGUGAGUCCUAGCGAAGCUAGCCAUUUCAAGUGUAUUAUUCAGAGUAGUGAAACGG